UACGUAGGGUGCGAGCGUUAAUCGGAAUUACUGGGCGUAAAGUGUGCGCAGGUGGCCGCGCAAGUCGAGUGUGAAAGCCCUCGGCUCAACCGAGGAAGUGCGUUCGAAACUACUGUUCUUGAGUGUCGGAGAGGGUGGCGGAAUUCCCGGUGUAGAAGUGAAAUUCGUAGAUAUCGGGAGGAACACCAGAGGCGAAGGCGGCCACCUGGACGAACACUGACGCUGAGGCGCGAAAGCGUGGGGAGCAAACAGG
rnacentral:rRNA from 1 species